AACAGUUCGAAUGGGGAAUUUAUUAAGGUUAACCAAAUUUAAAAAUUUAAUACAACAAAUAAUCAAAUAUGAAUUAUACAAAAUAAAUAAAGAAAAGAAUUUUGGGCUUCUUAUCUGGUCCAUUUUGAAAGUUGUCGAGAUUUGAACUUGAGCUUUUAGCUCAUUUUCCAGCAAUGUAUAUCAGUUGUAUAUCAGCUCCUCUUUGUUCACGUUUUGGCUGUAUACAUACUGUAUAUCAGCUUGCGAAUUCAUAUACCAGCUUCCCUAGACCGAUCUUUUAUCCUUUUUAUUCGUAUAUCAGCUUUCAAGACCUGUGUAUAGCAUAUAUCUGUUACAUAUCUUUGUAUACAACCUUGAUCUUCUUGAUUUUUAGUCCAUUUUUUGGGACUUGGCGGAGGCUUGGGAAUUGGUCCCGAAUAAAUGCAGAGGUAUGGAGUCCAACGGGACUCAGAUCAAUGUCACAUGCCACAAAGAAAAUAUAAAAAUUAAUAUAUGAAUCCCAACAAGAAUCAACUAAGGAAAUAAUGAGGAAGCAUUCCAUGUUGAAUUUAAAUGAGCACAUAUACAAUACGAAAAUGAUAUGUUUGUUAAGAAACCAAAAUUAAAUACCCUUGAAAAUUGUACAUUUCAAUUGAACAAGUGUAUUUAAAACAUGAAUCCAACAAGCACACAUUUAGUUAUCAUAUAGUCGAAAUGUGUUUUAAGGAGAAAAGCUCACUUUUUACCAUGAUCAGAUAAAUUUCAUUAAGAUACUGCCUCCCAUUUUCAUAAAGCAUGUAUCAAAAUUCUUAAUUGCUUAAAAAUUAGAGAUAAGAAACAACGAGGGACACUAAAACAACCCUUCAUAUUUUGAAGAAUUAAGCAGAUAUUGCUAAGAAUGAAACUCAAAUACACUUCCUGAAUAUUUUGGGCAAACAUAGGUAGAUAAUGAUGCUCAAACCAGUAAUGCUAUGAGUAACAGGGAAUCUAGAAUAUGCUUUUGCACUAAAGUAACAAACUUGCUAAGCUCCACAUGCAAUGGACCAUUAUUUCAUCAGAUUAAUGAAGGAUAAAUCAAUGAUUUAAGCUAACAAAUACUAAAAGAAUGCUAGUCAAGUUUCCAAAUCAGUUUCGAAAUAGGAAUAACCAUAAGAAUGACAACCAUAAUAGCUACUUUUAGAAUUGAAUUAAGCUAGAUAAAAUAAGUUUAUUCUACUUCAAGCUUUAAGCUAAAACCAAUAACGAGAUCUAAACUUAAUACCAACGAGACAAACGCUUCAUCCCCUCCUUGCAUAAGCCAAGCAAAUUCUCG
rnacentral:lncRNA from 1 species